rnacentral:rRNA from 1 species
ACACUCCUGCGGGAGGCAGCAGUGGGGAAUUUUGGACAAAGGGCGAAAGCCUGAUCCAGCCAUGCCGCGUGCAGGAUGAAGGCCUUCGGGUUGUAAACUGCUUUUGUACGGAACGAAACGGCCUUUUCUAAUAAAGAGGGCUAAUGACGGUACCGUAAGAAUAAGCACCGGCUAACUACGUGCCAGCAGCCGCGGUAAUACGUAGGGUGCAAGCGUUAAUCGGAAUUACUGGGCGUAAAGCGUGCGCAGGCGGUUAUGUAAGACAGUUGUGAAAUCCCCGGGCUCAACCUGGGAACUGCAUCUGUGACUGCAUAGCUAGAGUACGGUAGAGGGGGAUGGAAUUCCGCGUGUAGCAGUGAAAUGCGUAGAUAUGCGGAGGAACACCGAUGGCGAAGGCAAUCCCCUGGACCUGUACUGACGCUCAUGCACGAAAGCGUGGGGAGCAAACAGGAUUAGAAACCCCGGUAGUCCCAUGA